UAUACCAUUAACUAAAAUAAUGUCGUCUGGCCCAUUUAAAAAAUAAGCCGUCGUCUCUGAUUCUUCCUUUUCCUCUGCGUCGUUUCGGGUCGACUAUCUGCGUUUCACCGUUCUUUCAUUCCUGUUCUUUAGUUUUCUCUUAAUGAGCUAUUCUUUCCUUCCAACUCCCUCUCUUUCUACUCCUAUAUAAACCACUUCGUCAAAGACUCUCUAUAACAUCCAUUCAAUGAUAACAAUCGAUGGCUAUGAAAUUGAUUCAAACCUCCGACAAGUCUCGUGCUGCACUAUAUUUCGUCGACAUAUCACCAAGGCUAUCAGAGUGGGGAUUACGCUUUAGUUUGAUCUAUUUCUGGGAGGCCAGAAACACUGCCAAUGGUGGGAGCUGCUCAUCCUCGACGAACCAGGGGCACUGUGAUCUACCAGCCUCAACUCAAACCAGGAUCCACUUACAGCCUCAAGAAUUUAUUCGCUACGAAGCCGAAAGAGAUCUAUCGAGUUGCUGAUCUGCGUGUAACCAUUUGUUUCUCGCACAGCUCUGUCCUCUUCCAUCUUGAAUACCUAUCAACGCCGACCGGUUCAGAUUCUACUUACAUGAAGGUUUUGAGUCCAACUGUGGACUCUGAAACAGUCUUCAGCUUAUCUGCCAUGUAUUUGAUGCAUAUUAUUGAGCUUCUUUUCUAAUUUCACUUUAUUAAUUUUCAAAACCACUAUCGUUGUUUACAAUUUGGUUUAAGAAACAUUGGUGCAAAUUAGCAUAUCGUAUAAACACCAAGACAACAUAGAACUAGAACUAAACUUUUUGUUUAGUUUACGUUGUAAGUUCUAUAUUUUGCCUACUGCUUUGUUACUUUUAUAGGUGAUCUCCAUUGAAAAGGGCUUAUGUUUACAUGAACAAGAUGAAUCAGGCAAAGGACUGUUUUCCAUGUCUCUAAAACGCUACGAGAGGCACUCAUACGCCGAGAAACAGGUCAAUGGAACAUAGCAGGCUUAAGGCUAGGGGUGAUCUUUUGGAUAUCAAAGGCAUUAUGUGGGAAAGUAUUUAGAAUCAAUUGCAUAAGUGAACUCCAGACUCUCGAGUAACAGCUGGACACUUCUCUUAAACAUCUUUGCUCCAGAAAAGUAUGUAUGUAUAUCUUCCUUAUGGACGCAUACUCACACGCACACAUCUCUUUUAAAUUGUUUGAGUUUGUGCAGAUAUAAAUAUAUGCCUAACUAUUGUAAGUGAUGUGGAAAGAUUCUUAUUUAUCUUUAAAACUAUGGUUAUAGGUCAUGCAUGGUUUAGUGUUUGUCUCAUAUGAAUGAAUACAAUUUUGACUCAUUGGUGCAUAAUCAAUGUACGAGUCCCUCAACCACCUUCAAAGAAAGGUGUCCAACCGAGUUCAAGGAGCUUGCGGUGCAUUACUUGCGUGGAGGCGCACAAUGGUGGGUCAGUGUGGUUCGGAGCAUGCCUGUUGGAUAUGGAUCCCUUGGGAGACCUUUGGAGAAGAAUUGAAUAGGAAGUAUUUUCUGCAAGAGAGCUGGGGGGAUUGAGAGCUGAUAUACGCAAGCGAUGUGCAAUACAUGCAUAUGGUAUCUUGAUUGAGUUGGUUGAGAAAUCAGUCUUGAUGGAGGCUGUGCUUUUGGAGGAAGCAAAGUUCCUGAAAGUACUUAAUCCAAGACGACCAGGCGAGCAGAGUUGUCCUGGUGGGGUCAACAACUGUAGAAGGUGUGGUCAGCGAGGCCAUUAUGCAUGGGACUGCACAGCUCAUAUGGUUGGAGGACAACAAGGUAAUCAAAACCAAGGAAAUUUUCCACCACCUCUUAAGAGACGAGCCGUGGGACAUCGGAUGUGUGUCACAGCAGGUCAGGAUGACACAGAACCAAUAGAAUACCAAGAGUGCUCGGAGAUAUCCCUAAGAAUGGUUAUUUUUUCGUGGAAUUUCGUGGAAAUGGCAGGAGAGGGCAAUCAGGAGGAAAACACAUGCUUUGUAAAUAGUUGAUCAUUGCUUUUUUCUUCUUUUUUGCGUUUCUUAAUGUUUGAUAACUAUUAUACUCUUUCAAGUUCCAGUGUUUUACUCCACUUCAGUCUCGAACUUGAGCUACCAUCGCUCCACUUUGGGCACCAAAUGUUUCUUAAAAUGAAGAAUUAGUUGUUUCUUUUCA